UGACAAGAAGCUUAGGUCUCUGAUUGUCAAUAUUGAUUAACAUCCAAUUGUAUUGCUCACAUAUAAGCUGUCUUUGAGGCGCUUCCCAGAAUGCUUCAUCUAGCCCUUCAAUGGAUGAUCGUAGUCUCUGUACCGUUUGUUUUAUUGAUUCGUCGGAAGGGUCAUGCGUAUGGUCGACCAAGUUUAAUCCUUCAAUGUCAGUCUCCAGGGUUUUCAACAGAGACUGAAACUUUUUAAAAUCUGAAGUCAUGCUCUCAACCUCCCCUGAUAUAAAUACAUAUUCAUUCAAAUUUUUGUAAAAAUUCUUUUCCAAAUUUUUACGGACGCCCAUGUGAAUGCGUAGAAGCUUAUUGUAUAAAGACACAAAUUCAUCUUCACUAAGGUCCUGUAAAACAUCGUUUAAAUC